rnacentral:rRNA from 1 species
GUCCUGGCUGUAAACGAUGGGCACUAGGUGUGGGAGGAUCGACCCCUUCCGUGCCGCAGUUAACGCAUUAAGUGCCCCGCCUGGGGAGUACGACCGCAAGGUUGAAACUCAAAGGAAUUGACGGGGGCCCGCACAAGCGGUGGAGCAUGUGGUUUAAUUCGAUGAUACGCGAAGAACCUUACCGGGGCUUGACAUGCAGCAGAAUAUUCGUGGAAACACGAUUAGUCCCUCACGGGACUGUUGCACAGGUGCUGCAUGGCUGUCGU